rnacentral:rRNA from 1 species
CCUACGGGAGGCAGCAGUGAGGAAUAUUGGUCAAUGGACGAGAGUCUGAACCAGCCAAGUAGCGUGAAGGAUGACUGCCCUAUGGGUUUUAAACUUCUUUUAUAUGGGAAUAAAAUGUUCCACGUGUGGGAUUUUGUAUGUACCAUAUGAAUAAGGAUCGGCUAACUCCGUGCCAGCAGCCGCGGUAAUACGGAGGAUCCGAUCGUUAUCCGGAUUUAUUGGGUUUAAAGGGAGCGUAGGUGGAUUGUUAAGUCAGUUGUGAAAGUUUGCGGCUCAACCGGAAAAUUGCAGUUGAAACUGGCAGUCUUGAGUAAAGGAGAGGUGGGCGGAAUUCGUGGUGUAGCGGUGAAAUGCUUAGAUAUCACGAAGAACUCCGAUUGCGAAGGCAGCUCACUGGACUGCAACUGACACUGAGGCUCGAAAGUGUGGGUAUCAAACAGGAUUAGAUACCCCGGUAGUC